GAUGAACGCUGGCGGCGUGCCUAAUACAUGCAAGUCGAACGGACGGGCGCGGAUCUUGCUGCUCGGAUGUUUGCCGCACACGUGUGUAUAACGCGUGUAUCAUCUACCUGUCAUUCUGGGAUCACUUCGGGACACGGGCUCUUAUCCGAUAGGAGCUUUUGCUCCGCGGUGUUGAAAGGUGAGUUUCGGUCGUGCUGGCUCUUCUCGAGGGAUACGCGCUGCAUUAGGUAGUUGGUGAGGUCACGGCCUAUCAAGGCAAGGAGGCGUAGCCGACCUGAGAGGGUGAUCGGCCACACGGGAACGGAGACACGGUCCAGACGCCUACGGGAGGCAGCAGUAGGGAAUGUUCGGCAAUGGGCGAAAGCCUGACGGAGCAACGCCGCGUGAGUGAUGAAGGUCUCCGGAUCGUAAAACUCUGUUACUAGGGAAGAACAGAUGUGGAAGGAAAUGAGGACAGAGUGACGGUACCUAAUCAGAAAGCAACGGCUAACUACGUG
rnacentral:rRNA from 1 species